UAGAGGAAACAAACAGUUUUGAUGAGUAAAACAAAUUGGGAAGAAGAAAAGCAGAAGCUGCUCUAAAUCAAAUGAACAGCAUGUAAUGCUAGGUAAUAGAAGUUAAUACAAGUCAGUCAACCUUUCCACUUGAGUUGUGAGUUUAAAUGAUGCCUUGAUAAUAUAAGUGCAUAUCUUUAUUGAAAGUAUUAUAGGAUCCAAAGGUCACAUGAUCCAGAGGAACAAGGAAGCAAGAGGAUAUUUCCCAGAAAUAUAAUUACAUCCUUAAAUCUGCUCUUAACACUUUGUGAUAAAGUAUUACUGGAAAAUAGGUAAAAAAAAAAAAAAAAACCUCAGCAUCAAAAAUAAGUUAAAUAAUGAGAAAAUUGGGAAACCACACUGGCAUAAAAUCAAGACAUUCACAUUUAAAUGAUCUUCUAACACAGUGAAUCUAAAUAAAAAAGAAGACAUGUUACCAUGAAAUAUGAGAGGCGAAUAAGACAAUAGCUUGGUUUCAGUUUACAGGAAAAAGUUGUAAAUAUCCAUAAAAUAGUAACAUCAUAAAAUCAAUAAAAGCUGGACACACCCCAGAACAAAUACCACCUUCAUCCUGAUCCAGGGAUUGGCUGUUCGCCCUGAGUUUUCACUAAUCCACACCUGUGUACAACCAUGAGAACAUGACAUAAUUACAGCUCAUAGAACCUUAUAUAAGAGCAGAGGAGGGACACAGCCACAUUGUGUGCACCUGUUGGCUUGGUCGCAGUUUGAAGCAAAUUUCAAUCUCUUUGGUAUCAUUUCUGAUUACAGUUUUCUCUCCAUCAUGAAGUGGAUGAUCAUAAGAUUCUGCAUGUUGGCACUGCUGGUCUUCCAGGCUCAGACUAACGUGACAACGACUGUGACAACUGACUUGGCAACAACUGAUAAUACUUCAGUUGCAAGUACAAAUACAACAACUGUAAAGACUUCAACUACAACUACAGCUCAAGUCACUGUUCCAACAGUUGAAAUUACUUUACCCAUAACAACGAGCACAAAUACUUCAAAUACAACUCAAGCCACUGGGACGACUUUGCAGGAACGUGUGACAACUCCAUCAGAUCAGCCAACCACAACGCCUCCAUCUUCAGAGCCCAGCAUGAAUCAAACAACAAAAUUUUCAAGCAGCAUGACCGAUAUGACCACAUUCUAUCCGUCCUGCUGUACAUGA
ensembl:lncRNA